GGUAAUUCCUCCGGUUAACGAGGACCGGUUCUGAUACUGGUAAAAUUGGUCUUGUUCUGCCAGUUCGGUCCGGUUGCCAGCUUUAGUUCUCACAGGUGCAUCUGUGCUGGAAUCGGCGAGCCGCUGAUCAAUCAUUGUACCAUGCCAAUUGCAGCGCCGGUACUGAGGCAACUUUGCUUCUUUCAGGCUAGCAUUUAGCUGGCGAGAUGCCUCCUGUGGGAUUCCAGUUCCUUUCACUGGCAGUAGCUUCAGCAGGGGAACAAGCACCAAGCGGACGUCGGAUGAAGGUAAUGCAAGCGCUUGGUUUGAUGGCUCCUCCUGGAUCACCAUUUCAUUCAAAGUAAUGCGUCUGUAGUCCAUCUGCUGAUAAUGCUAUGAAAUAAAACUCUCACGAGGCAUAGUAUUGCUGGUACUAACAGCUAGAUAUAAUAUUAAAUGUUCCAGGAAAGUUUUCGUCCAAAAGUAAUGUGUCUCAAUGAUCAGUUGUCUGUAGUCUACUUGUUGAUGAUGCUUGAAGUAAAUAUGUACGACUGAUUUGUCAAUCACAAUUAUGUUUGGGAUUGAGAUAGUGAUUAUUGUUGAUGCUAACAUCUGGAAUAUGACAUAUACAGUAUUCUGAGAUAGUUUUAAUCUCAAGUGACAUUCUGGUGACUGA